CUUUCUUUCUCAUAGAAGAAUCUUGAAGGGGAGCCCAAAUUAGUCCGUGAAAUAUAUGGAAGAGUUAGGACCUAAACUAUAGCAUCAUAAUCUAAGCAGAAUUGUUAUCCUCCGCAUCCUCCACCACAUCCUCCGCCAUGUCCACCACAACCACCGCCGUGAUGACCGUCGUUAUGACCGCAGUGAUUCCCGGAGGAGAUAGCCGCUGCUGGAAAAAUCACUAACCCACCAUCUCUACUUCUUCUCACGUCAUUGCUAGCUAGUACUAGUAGUGACUGUUUGUUUCUUCUCGUCCUCAUGUAGACAGAUGCAACAACAUAUCGUACCACCGAUAAAAAUCGAAAUAAAGAGGACUGUCAAGACAGUAACAAUAUCCUCCAUUAUUGCUUCUACGUUGUGUUGGAAGAACUUGUUAAAAAGGAUUUAUUUACCAUAAAAAUUUACCUUCUCUCUAUAUAUAAUAUUUUGUUUUGCCUUUCAUUUUUAUUUAAUUAUGGGUUAUUUAGUGCAAUAAUGUUUGAGGUGUGUGAUUUAAAAUCUUAAGAUAUGCCAAAAAAUGCAAUUUUAAUGUGUAUUUUGUUAUACAUUUAGACGUGUUUCAAGAAAAAGUGUAUUUUAAAAAACAAAUUUUUAUCUUGUUUUAAUUGCUAUUGAUUUUUUCAUUCAAAGAAAAAGUGUAUUUAAUAAAAAUCUGAGGACCAACAUCGCCUUUUAGCAAUUAGAAAGUCCAAUAGAUGUAUAUAUAAACAAAUUUAUUAGGGAACUAGUUAAGUUAUAGCAUCAUAAUCUAAGCAGAAUGGUCAUCUAUCUUCCACAUUCCCCAGCGCAUUCUUCGCCAUGACCACGACAACCAUUGCUGUGACGACCACGUUGAGUCCUUGAUCGUCGGAGGAGAUAGCCGUAGCCGUUGGUUGUACGACUAUUCGAGUUUAAUUAUUCUCCGUCAUGAGACAGAGGCUACAACAAAAUACUGUACCAACGAUAACAACCAAACUAACGGUGGCUAACACGACAAUAAUAUAAACUUCCAUCAUUGCUUUUAUGUUGUAUUGGAAUUUCGCUGCGACAAGUUUUUCCUAAAGAUUCUAACCAUACAAAUUUAGCUCUCUCCGUAUUUAUACUUUUUUUUUUCCUUUCCUUUUUUUUUUUUUCAUUAUGGGUUAACUACUGUUAGUGUAAUAAUGUUUGAGGUGUGUGAUAUUAAAUAUCUUAACAUAUGUAACAAAUAAAUUUAAUCUAUGUAGAUGCGUUUGACAUUAGUGUGACACAUGUUUAAAUAUAUCUAAUAGUAUUAAUUAUAAUGCGAUAAGUAUAUCAAACAUUUUUAAGAUAAUAAAUUAAUAUAAAAGAAAAUAAUAUUUACUAUAACUUAAAUGAAAUGUGCAUAUUUAUGAAUAAUUAGUGCAAUAAUGUUUGAAGAAGUAUCUCAAUAAAUGCAAAAAAAUCAUAUGUUUGUUGAGCCUUUGAGGUGUUGAUGACAUUUCUAGUUCAUCUAACUUGUGUUACCGUCUCAUCACAUAUUGGGCUUAUGUGGACCUAAUUUGUGAGAGAAUUACUUAAAAGUGGGCUUUCACAAAAACAGAACAUGGUUCAGACUUUUACCCUUUAAAGGUCCAUUGUCACUAAUAUUGGAAUUGUUUUUUUUUUUUUUAAUUUAUUUAUUUGACAUCUCCAAUAUUGGAAUUUAGUCCUAACUGUGAAAGAUUUAUGCAAGUGAGGUAAUUAAAUAUAAAAUUUCCGACAGUAA